rnacentral:rRNA from 1 species
AGGACGAACGCUGGCGGCGCGCUUAACACAUGCAAGUCGAGCGAGAACCGGGACUUCGGUCCCGGGGACAGCGGCGAACGGGUGAGUAACACGUGGGUAAUCAACCCUCGGCACCGGGAUAGCCCGAGGAAACUCGGAUUAAUACCGGAUAGCCCCUCCGACUCUCGAGUCGGUCGGGAAAGGUAGCUUAGGCCUCUGGCCGGGGACGAGCCCGCGGCGGAUUAGCUUGUUGGUGGGGUAAUGGCCUACCAAGGCAACGAUCCGUAGCUGGUCUGAGAGGACGAUCAGCCACACUGGGACUGAGACACGGCCCAGACUCUUACGGGAGGCAGCAGUGGGGAAUCUUGCGCAAGUGGGCGAAAG